UUUUUAUAGCUAAAAGAAAAUAUUUUGCGAAUAUAUGUUUAUUAACGUAAUUACUAAAAUUCAGUAGUUUUUAUGAAUUACUCUAUUUUCGGAACUCAACAAAGCAACAGAAAUUUUUAAGUACUUAUUUGUGGGUACAGGAAAUGUUGAAACCCUUAUUGAGAAAUAACUAGGGAUACAGUUGAUGUCCAAGAUUGAAAAUUAGUUUAUCUGAAAAAUUCGAAAAUUGCGAAGCACUAAACAUUACACGUCCGUCAACAUAUGUUUUAUGAAAAUUACAUUAGAGAUUGAGAGAUUCUUAGUCAGGCUAGUGGAUACAGCAAAAAGAAUUGCAUGGGAGUAACUUUAAUGGUACUUCCUUAAUUGGGAUUUGCUGGAACUUUACUUAAGAAUCUAUUAAUCGUUUCGAAGUUAUCAAGUAAGUAAUCAUUCAAAAACUGUUAA